rnacentral:tRNA from 1 species
ACAGGUGUAGCUCAGUUGGUAGAGCAUCGGUCUCCAAAACCGAGUGUCGGGAGUUCGAGUCUCUCCACCUGUGCCA